GACGAACCGUGCGAACGUUGUUCGGAAUCAUUGGGCGUAAAGAGCGUGUAGGCGGCCAUACAGGUCCGUUGUGAAAACUGGAGGCUUAACCUCCAGACGUCGAUGGAAAACGUAUGGCUAGAGUCCGGAAGAGGAGAGUGGAAUUCCUGGUGUAGCGGUGAAAUGCGCAGAUAUCAGGAGGAACACCGGUGGCAAAGGCGGGUCUCUGGGCAGUAACUGACGCUGAGGAGCGAAAGCGUGGGGAGCGAACAGG
rnacentral:rRNA from 1 species